rnacentral:rRNA from 1 species
UUUAAAGUCUAAUCUGCCCUAUGAGGAUUUAAAUGGCCGCGGUAUUUUGACCGUGCAAAGGUAGCAUAAUAAUUAGUUUUUUAAUUGAAAGCUGGUAUGAAUGAUUGAACGAGAAAAUAGCUGUCUCAAUUUAAUUUUUUUAGAAUUUUAUUUUUAAGUAAGAAAGCUUAAAUUUAAUUGAAAGACGAGAAGACCCUAUAGAGUUUUAUUAUUAAUUAGUUUUUAAUUUUUUAGUAUAUUUUUAUUAUUAAUUAUUUAGUAAUUUUAUUGGGGCGAUAGAAAAAUAUUAUAAACUUUUUUUAAAUUAUUUAAGCAUUAAUUUAUGAUUAAUUGAUCCAUUAUUUAUGAUUAUAAGAUUAAAUUACCUUAGGGAUAACAGCGUAAUGUUUUUUUAGAGUUCUUAUCGAAAGAAAAGAUUGCGACCUCGAUGUUGGAUUAAAAUUAAUACUAGGUGUAGUAGUUUAGUAAUUAGGUCUGUUCGACCUUUAAAAUUUUACAUGAUCUGAGUUUAAACCGGUGUGAGCCAGGUUGGUUUCUAUCUUUAAUAAGUUAAAGUAUUUUAGUACGAAAGGACCAAAUAUUUGUAAUAUUUAUUAGAUUUUGAUUAAUAUUAG